rnacentral:tRNA from 1 species
GGAGAGGUGUCAGAGUGGUUGAUUGAGCACGAUUGGAAAUCGUGUGCACGCUGAAAGGUGUGCCGCGGGUUCAAAUCCCGCCCUCUCCGCCA